AGGUCAACAAAACACUUGGUAAGUAUAUCAGGUAAUUGCAGGGAAAUGGCUGAUUCAAGGAACUUCACGAGAGCACUGCUGACAGCGGUGCAAUGAUGGUAGCAUUAAAACAACGUCGGCUGGAUUCGAACUCCAUUGGUAUCCUACUUUUAUAGGAUUUUAAUAAAUUUGAUAAAAUAAAACUCGCAAAUAAAAGAUAAUCAGUAUU